rnacentral:rRNA from 1 species
AUGCAAGUCGAACGGAGCUGAGAGGAGCUUGCUUUUCUUAGCUUAGUGGCGAACGGGUGAGUAACGCGUGAGUAACCUGCCCUGGAGUGGGGGACAACAGUUGGAAACGACUGCUAAUACCGCAUAAGCCCACGGAUCCGCAUGGAUCUGCGGGAAAAGGAUUUAUUCGCUUCAGGAUGGACUCGCGUCCAAUUAGCUAGUUGGUGAGGUAACGGCCCACCAAGGCGACGAUUGGUAGCCGGACUGAGAGGUUGAACGGCCACAUUGGGACUGAGACACGGCCCAGACUCCUACGGGAGGCAGCAGUGGGGGAUAUUGCACAAUGGGGGAAACCCUGAUGCAGCGACGCCGCGUGGAGGAAGAAGGUUUUCGGAUUGUAAACUCCUGUCGUUAGGGACGAUAAUGACGGUACCUAACAAGAAAGCACCGGCUAACUACGUGCCAGCAGCCGCGGUAAAACGUAGGGUGCAAGCGUUGUCCGGAAUUACUGGGUGUAAAGGGAGCGCAGGCGGACCGGCAAGUUGGAAGUGAAAACUAUGGGCUCAACCCAUAAAUUGCUUUCAAAACUGCUGGCCUUGAGUAGUGCAGAGGUAGGUGGAAUUCCCGGUGUAGCGGUGGAAUGCGUAGAUAUCGGGAGGAACACCAGUGGCGAAGGCGACCUACUGGGCACCAACUGACGCUGAGGCUCGAA